UGGGGAAUUUUGGACAAUGGGCGCAAGCCUGAUCCAGCAAUGCCGCGUGCAGGAUGAAGGCCUUCGGGUUGUAAACUGCUUUUGUACGGAGCGAAAAGGUUUGCCCUAAUACGGUGGGCUCAUGACGGUACCGUAAGAAUAAGCACCGGCUAACUACGUGCCAGCAGCCGCGGUAAUACGUAGGGUGCGAGCGUUAAUCGGAAUUACUGGGCGUAAAGCGUGCGCAGGCGGUUAUAUAAGACAGAGGUGAAAUCCCCGGGCUCAACCUGGGAACUGCCUUUGUGACUGCAUAGCUAGAGUACGGUAGAGGGGGAUGGAAUUCCGCGUGUAGCAGUGAAAUGCGUAGAUAUGCGGAGGAACACCGAUGGCGAAGGCAAUCCCCUGGACCUGUACUGACGCUCAUGCACGAAAGCGUGGGGAGCAAACA
rnacentral:rRNA from 1 species